GAUGAACGCUGGCGGCGUGCCUAAUACAUGCAAGUCGAGCGAACAGACGAUAAGAUUGCUCCUCUGCCGGUAGCGGCGGACGGGCGAGUAACACGUGCAUAACCUACCUAUAAUACUGGGAUGACAUCGUGGAAAAGGAUCUACUACUGGAUAAUAUAUUGAACCGCAGGAUUCAGUGGAGAUAGAGGGUUUUGCUGUCUGUAAGAGCUGGAGCCGCAUUAGCUAGUUGGCGGGGUAAGGGCUCACCAAGGCGACGAUACGUAGCCGGCCUGAGAGGAUGAUCAGCCACACUGGAACUGAGACACGGUCCAGACUCCUACGGGAGGCAGCAGUGGGGAAUCUUCGGCAAUGGGCGCAAGCUUGACCCAGCCACGCCGCGUGAGUGAUGAAGGUCUUCGGAUCGUAAAGCUCUGUUAUUGGGAAAGAAAAACUGUGUAAGUAACUCUGCCCGUCUUGACGGUACCUAAUCAGAAAGCCACGGCUAACUACGUG
rnacentral:rRNA from 1 species